rnacentral:rRNA from 1 species
GUGGGGAAUCUUGCGCAAUGGGCGAAAGCCUGACGCAGCCAUGCCGCGUGAAUGAUGAAGGUCUUAGGAUUGUAAAAUUCUUUCACCGGGGACGAUAAUGACGGUACCCGGAGAAGAAGCUCCGGCUAACUUCGUGCCAGCAGCCGCGGUAAUACGAAGGGGGCUAGCGUUGCUCGGAAUUACUGGGCGGAAAGGGCGCGUAGGCGGACAGCUUAGUCAGAGGUGAAAGCCCAGGGCUCAACCUUGGAAUUGCCUUUGAUACUGGCUGUCUUGAGUUUGGGAGAGGUGAGUGGAACUCCGAGUGUAGAGGUGAAAUUCGUAGAUAUUCGGAAGAACACCAGUGGCGAAGGCGACUCACUGGCCCAAUACUGACGCUGAGGCGCGAAAGCGUGGGGAGCAAACAGGAUUAGAUACCCCGGUAGUCC